rnacentral:rRNA from 1 species
UACGUAGGGGGCAAGCGUUGUCCGGAUUUAUUGGGCGUAAAGAGCGUGUAGGCGGCCAGGUAGGUCCGCUGUGAAAACUCGAGGCUUAACCUCGAGAUGUCGGUGGAAACCAUCUGGCUAGAGUCCGGAAGAGGAGAGUGGAAUUCCUGGUGUAGCGGUGAAAUGCGCAGAUAUCAGGAAGAACACUCGUGGCGAAGGCGGCUCUCUGGGACGGUACUGACGCUGAGACGCGAAAGCGUGGGGAGCGAACAGG